rnacentral:rRNA from 1 species
UACGAAGGGGGCGAGCGUUGUUCGGAUUUACUGGGCGUAAAGGGCGCGUAGGCGGCCUUGUCAGUCAGGCGUGAAAGCCCCGGGCUCAACCUGGGAACGGCGCUUGGGACGGCGAGGCUGGAGUUCGGGAGAGGGGAGUGGAAUUCCCAGUGUAGAGGUGAAAUUCGUAGAUAUUGGGAAGAACACCGGUGGCGAAGGCGGCUCUCUGGACCGACACUGACGCUGAGGCGCGAAAGCGUGGGGAGCAAACAGG